UGCUCCCAUGGGCAGCGGUACACUAGGGUCAGAAUGACACAGAGAAGAUCAGCAUGGCGCCUGUGCAGGGAUGAUACACAAAUCUGUGAAGCCUUCUCAAUUGUU
rnacentral:snRNA from 1 species